rnacentral:lncRNA from 1 species
GGGUUACAACUAUUUGUGUAAGCACAAGUUCAAAGUAACAAAGCUAACAGAGGUGGUUUUGCUAUUUUACCAUUUUUGCGUGAUUUACCAUGCAUUUAAAAGCUUGAACACUAAAUAAAAUCUAGUGCUAAAUACAGAUUAGGAACAUGCAUAUGAGUAUUUUUAAAAGAAACUAGCCAUCACCAGAAACCUAGCAAAACAAGAAUCAAAUUUUCCCCAGUUUUCUACAUUUUUCUAUGCCUUUUCAAAGUUUCAGCCUUUUUAGAACUAGGAUAAAGAAAACCGAGAUCAACUUGAAAACUAGCCCCCAGAUCUAAGGUUUAAUCAUGCAAAGGUCCCUGGAUUUCUCCCAUACCCCCUUAUCUUUUCUCCUUCUCCACACAGCUCCCUUACGCACAACAGAUC